rnacentral:lncRNA from 1 species
UUUCACGGCUUUUUCAAGCCUAUGAAAAAGCGUUUUUCCUCUUUCUUAUUAAGUUCUUGUUCCAUUACUCCCAGUCGGGCAUUUAAUUUCUGUUAGUGGUGUUGAGGAAUGGAAUUCUCCCGUGUCCCUGCUUUAUUUAUUUGAGAGCCCCAGUCAAGGUUAAGCAGAACCAAGCAUUGCUGUUCCCAUCAGGAGACCUCUGCGUGUUGGUGAAUACUGGUACUUCUCUUGCUGUAAAUCAGCUCCUCCAUUCCCUACCUCGUAUCUCAUUAAGACUGGUGCAACUGAUAAGGUUGAAUUCCUCCAUGUUACUAAUGAUCAUUCAGGCUUUAUUGAAACAACUUCAGGUUUUGCACCUUGAUGCCAAAGGAAAUGGUUCCCAUCACGGAAAUUUCAUGUUGGAUGCGCAAUGGGGAGAGGCGCUGGCCUUGCUGGGUUCCUCAACAGACGGCUCCAGUGAUGCAAUCCUCACGUUCCUACCUGCCAGGACAGAGGGAAGCCUUGAUGUGUGGCACAAAGGGAUAUGCAAGAGGAGCAAACAGACCAUGAGCUCUGUUGACAAAUGCGGCAUUUGUGGGGCAAGGACAAUGCGAGUCGAAAGAGUAAAGAAGAAUCUAAAACAUGGUGGCCGCAUUUCAGGUAUAGACCUGAUUCUUUUAUAUAAGGAGUAACACUACAAGAGAAGUUGAGUCUAUGGAGAAGAAGAGGAUCCUGGACAAGCCUGCAGUUCCAGCAUUCCUG